rnacentral:rRNA from 1 species
CAAGUCGAACGCGAAAGUCCCCUUCGGGGGAUAAGUAGAGUGGCGCACGGGUGAGUAACACGUAGGUAAUCUACCUUCGGGUGGGGAAUAACCCAGGGAAACUUGGGCUAACACCGCAUAAUGCAGCGGCACCACAUGGUGACAGUUGUUAAAGCGGGGGAUUUUAGGACCUCGCGCCUGAAGAGGAGCCUGCGGCAGAUUAGCUUGUUGGUAAGGUAACGGCUUACCAAGGCGACGAUCUGUAGCCGGCCUGAGAGGGCGGUCGGCCACACUGACACUGACAUACGGGUCAGACUCCUACGGGAGGCAGCAGUCGGGAAUUUUGGGCAAUGGGCGAAAGCCUGACCCAGCAACGCCGCGUGAAGGAUGAAAUCCCUCGGGAUGUAAACUUCGCAAGAAUGGGAAGAAUUAGUAGGGGUUAAUACCCCCUAUGAUGACGGUACCAUUUGUAAGCUCCGGCUAACUCCGUGCCAGCAGCCGCGGUAAUACGGGGGGAGCAAGCGUUGUUCGGAUUUACUGGGCGUAAAGGGCGCGUAGGCGGCCAGCACAAGUCGGUUGUGAAAUCUCCGGGCUUAACUCGGAAAGGUCAACCGAUACUGUGCGGCUAGAGUGCGGAAGGGGCAACUGGAAUUCUCGGUGUAGCGGUGAAAUGCGUAGAUAUCGAGAGGAACACCUGCGGCGAAGGCGGGUUGCUGGGCCGACACUGACGCUGAUGCGCGAAAGCCAGGGGAGCGAACGGGAUUAGAUACCCCGGUAGUCCUGGCCUUAAACGAUGGAUGCUUGGUGUCUGGAGUUUUAUAGUCUCCGGGUGCCGU